AUUGAACGCUGGCGGCAGGCUUAACACAUGCAAGUCGAGCGAGCGGCGGACGGGUGCGUAAUGUCUGGGAAUCUGCCUGAUGGAGGGGGAUAACUACUGGAAACGGUAGCUAAUACCGCAUACCAUCAGAUGUACCCAGAUGGGAUUAGCUAGUAGGUGGGGUAAGGGCUCACCUAGGCGACGAUCCCUAGCUGGUCUGAGAGGAUGAUCAGCCACAGUGGAAAUGAGACACGGUCCAGACUCCUACGGGAGGCAGCAGUGGGGAAUAGUGCACAAUGGGGGCAAGCCUGAUGCAGCCAUGCCGCGUGGAUGAAGAAGGCCUUCGGGUUGUAAAGCACUUUCAGAGGGGAGGCGUUACUCGCAGAAGAAGCACCGGCUAACUCCGUGCCAGCAGCCGCGGUAAUAC
rnacentral:rRNA from 1 species